rnacentral:rRNA from 1 species
UGGGAGGACGCCUUUCGGGGUGUAAACCACUGUUGCCCGGGACGAACAUCUUCUUUCGAGGAGACUGACGGUACCGGGUGAGGAAGCACCGGCUAACUCCGUGC